AACGGCCAUACCAUGCUGCAUAUACCGGUUCUCGUUAGAUCACCGAAGUCAAGCAUCGUUGGGCGCGGUCAGUACUUGGGUGGGUGACCACCUGGGAACACCGCGUGCCGUU
rnacentral:rRNA from 1 species